UACGAGGGGGGCAAAUGUUGUUCGGAAUCACUGGGCGUAAAGGGAGCGUAGGCGGGUUUCUAAGUCAGGUGUUUAAUCCCGGGGCCCAACCCCGGACAGGCACUUGAACUGGGAAUCUUGAAUAGUGGAGAGGUCAGUGGAAUUGGGGUGUAGCGGUGGAAUGCGUAGAGAUCCCAAGAACACCAGUGCGAAGGCGGCUGACUGGACACAUAUUGACGCUGAGGCUCGAAAGCAUGGGAGCAACAGGG
rnacentral:rRNA from 1 species